rnacentral:rRNA from 1 species
ACAAGCGGUGGAGUAUGUGGUUUAAUUCGAUGCAACGCGAAGAACCUUACCUGGUCUUGACAUCCCGGAGACCCUUAGGAAACUAGGGGUGCUUCCAUCUGGAAGAAUCUGGAGACAGGUGCUGCAUGGCUGUCGUCAGCUCGUGUCGUGAGAUGUUGGGUUAAGUCCCGCAACGAGCGCAACCCUUGCCUUUAGUUGCCAGCAGUUCGGCUGGGCACUCUAAAGGGACUGCCGGUGUUAAACCGGAGGAAGGUGGGGAUGACGUCAAGUCCUCAUGGCCUUUAUGGCCAGGGCUACACACGUACUACAAUGGCCGAUACAAAGGGCAGCGACACUGCGAGGUGAAGCCAAUCCCGUAAAAUCGGUCUCAGUCCGGAUUGGAGUCUGCAACUCGACUCCAUGAAGUUGGAAUCGCUAGUAAUCGUGGAUCAGCAUGCCACGGUGAAUACGUUCCCGGGCCUU